UCUAUGUUACAGUACCAUAGGGCAUGUAUUUUGUGGUAACUCUGUGGUACAGUACCACAGGUUCUGUGAUACAUCACCAGAGAAUUUGCUGUACCUGUGGUACUGUAAGGUCGUACCACAUGAAUAUUACAGGAACAUUUUCCAGUACCACAGGAAAUUUUUGUAAGGGGUCUAUUACCUGUAAUUGCCUUAACAAAAUGGAUCCUGUCACUGAAAUGUUGACAUAACAGGUCAACAGAGAAGAUGAGGUAAGUUAUCUCGAUCAUCACGUAUUGAAAUGAUCAUGUUGAGUAUUUGUGUGCAAGAGCCGGACAACGAUUUUAAGUAAUUCUUGCUGAUAGAACACCAAGCUAAUCACAGGUGAGGUCUGGAUGAAUGCUGGCAGAUGACUGACUGGCAGAUGGGAUGACUCAGUGCGUGACUCACUGGUUGAUUUGCCAGCAUUCCUCAGUGGACUCCAGCGGGGUACAGUCUGACCCAGCGUGAUAAUCCCCUCGCUGCCAGGACCCCUAAUCAGUUCUCCUCUUGACCUGGAAUGGGCUAGCUAAUGGAUAAGCUAACCUGACACAGCAAAGGCAAGUAUGCUCACACGCACACAAGCACAUACACACCCACUAAAAACUGUCUGUACAACCUCUCUGUCUUCCUUAAUGAAAGAUAUUCUGGUCAAGAUAUUUUUACUUGACUGGCACUGUCUUCACAGAGAAGGGUAAAAUUUGAGUUUAGGUGUCUGAUGAGAAGACUCUGACAAUGUGACAAUGUAAGAAUAUAUUCUGCUGUGAGGAAGAUGCUAAACUUGACAGUAUAAGGUGUUAAUGCACCGACCAAAACCAAACAUACUGAAAAGCAAACUUCAACAGACAGAACGAGUGGAGAAGCGAAAACUGACGGCAACCUGCUAGCAGCAACAAGUUACUAUGCCGAACGAGGCGCCAACAAAGACUGGCGGCUAUGGCUGCUAUCAAGCAGCUGAAUUACAAUGCUGACUCGGUGGUUUAUAUUGUCAUCUCUGAUUGCAAUGAGAUGGACUGAGAUGGAACCUGGAGGACCAAAGAUGACCACCAGAAUUUCACCAGAAUUAUGUAUUUUAUCAACUCUUGGAACAAU